GGGAUGUAUAGAGGGCAUAAGGUAGUCUUUAGGAGGUCUGUGUCUGUGUGUGUGUGUGUGUGGGGGGGUUUAUAGAGGGCAUGAGGUAGUCUUUAGGAGGUCUGUGUGUGUGUGUGUGUGUGUUGGGGGAUAUAUAGAGGGCAUAAGGUGGUCUUUAGGAGGUCUGUGUGUGUGUGUGUGUGUGGGGGGUGUAUAGAGGGCAUAAGGUAGUCUUUAGGAGAUCUGUGUGUGUGUGUGGGGGAUGGGGUAUAUAGAGGGCAUGAGGUAGUCUUUAGGAGGUCUGUGUGUGUGGGUGGGGGUGUAUUGAGGGCAUAAGGUAGUCGUUAGGAGGUCUGUGUGUGUGUGGGGGGGCGGGGUGUAUAGAGGGCAUAAGGUAGUCUUUAGGAGGUCUGUGUGUGUGUGGGGGGGGGCAUAUAGAGG
ensembl:lncRNA